CGUUCGCCUACCAACUGACUUGCUGGUUGGCGUCGUCAUCGUCAUCGUCGUUGUAUGAUUAUUUGGUCCGUCGUCGCUUCAGUUGCCUAUGAGACGUCGUGACGGUCAUGUGUGUAGGCGCAUUCAAUUCCCGUGUUCGGUAGUGAAAUAAUCAAAUUUUGUUUGUUAUAAAUUUUCGCUCGCGCUCUAUUGGCCAGCCCCAUCAAAAUUGUCGCAAUUCCUAAAUCGUGCUUUUUGCCAAACUUUUAAAGUUGAUGACGCGAAUUGGCAGCGCGUGUCGCCCCAAAGCAAAACAAACCGAAAUUUUUGUUUGCGCGAAGGAAGCGCGUGCAAUUUAGCAACGCGUUGGUGUUUUGAAACCCGAGCGAAAAUUCGGUUUUACCAAAAAAUUAUUUGUUUUUCCAUAAAGUGCGGCCGAAGAAAUCGCAACGCGUACGUGCGUGUGUGUAUGUGUGCGCGCAGGUUUUUUGUGUGAAAAUUGAUAUUUGUGCAAAGUGCAAGUGAAGUGAAGCUCUUCGCCAGCAUGCAAAUGGUGUGCUGAUGUAGUAACAACAAAAAUAAAAGUUGACAACAAGUUUACAAACGUCAAAGUGCUGUUUGCGGGCGUGAAUCAGCCCGUUUGCCCCGAAUUAUUGAUAUUUAACUGUUGUGUUCAACUCUGAAACAGCUUGUAGCUUCGCAUCUUUGCAAACUUGAAGAUUUGCUUUCAUCGCAUGAGGUCAAACAUUUGAUGUCUUUCUCAGAACACAGCAAACAAAACAAACAGCAGAUUACACAAAGCGAUAACCCAAAUUCAUUUGCUUUGGGAAAUUGCUGAUGAUGUUGAUGAUGCUGAUGUAAAAUACCAAAUUCCCAUUAAAAAAAUUCAACUAAUUUACACACUCAUCAGACAGAGAAAGAUAGAAAAUCCCCAAACGGAAGAGUUCUUGUGUUGUUUGGAGCUGAGGGUUUUGUGUUUAAGGUGAACAAAUAAGUGCAGUGAAGAAAUUCUAACGAAAGAAGUGAAAAAUAUUCAGAUUUCAAAUAUAAAAUAAAUCGACUACUAAAGACCAAAAGUGAAACAUAAAGAUUAAAAACGUGACUGCAAAUUUGCAAUUGAAAUAAAAUUAUAAAACUGUUAAGCACUCAACCUUAACGACGCUGACUGACUUAUUCUCUUUGGAUUACUCCACAGGCUUUAAUAUAUUUGCGAGAGGUCUCUCACUGAACACUACCCAACAGGCUCACAUGUGAUGAGCUCAAAGCGCUUCGUCGAUAUAUACAUAAAGGACUGGUGAUCCAUAUGUAGGGGUUUUGGGAAACACAACUCUCUUGCUGUUCAAGUGGUAUCCUAAGUUAUCUCUCUAGUACGAGGAUCAAUCUUCCGACCUAACCUAAACGCAUA